GGAGGGAAUCCAAAUGGUAAUGAUGGAGAAUAAUUGCUGUGCUCCAGGGCAGCUGGUCUAGAUCAGAUGGUUUAAGGUAUCACAUCAGAAACCCUUCUUCUCUCCUGAAUGAAUGCAUGGGCAGGGAGAACACUGAUGAUUCUGAUGGGGUGUGCAGUGAAGGUUGAGUGUGGCUGAGAAAUAAUUUCUUCUUUCUUUCUUAGUCUCACACUGUAGCUCAGGCUGGAGUGCAGUGGAGCGAUCUCAACUUAGUGCCAGCUCCGCCUCCCGGGUUCAAGAGAGUCUUCUGCCUCAGCCUCAGUAGUAGCUGGGAUUACAGAUAGAGUACCAAAGAUAUAAUUUGAAGAGAGGAAACACAGUAACACUGCAUUUUUAUAUAAAAUAUGAUACCUUUUGAUUGGAAAAAUAACCAGCCAAAAAUAAAAAGAAAACAAUUCAUGUAUCUCAAAAAUAAAAGUGUGCUGAAGCCCUAUCCCCAAGAUGACUAUAUUUGGAGACAGGAUUUUUGGAGGAAUAUUUCAUCUUUUGGUUUAGAAAUUCAAAGCAUUCAAGUUUAUUAAGUGUCUAGGUCAUGAAAGAAAAAGAGCCACAGGUGUGAGGAAAUUAAUUACGCAUGACAACUAAAUGCAACGUGGAACCUUGUAUUGAAUCUUGGAAAAGAAACAGGAUAUUAAUGGGAAAAUGAUGAAGUUCAAAUACUAUCUACGGAGUCUCACUCUUUCGCCCAGGCCAGAGGAUUCUAAAUCAAAUAUUUGGAGAACUAAAUCUCCAUUUAUGACAACUACUUUUAAAGCAAGAAGUAAAAAGAAGAGUAAAUCAUGGCAACCUCUUCUUAGUCUGUUUUCAUUGAAAGUGAAAGCAGAAGCAGGACAGUAAGAAGAGUCUAUUUUUGACAAAUUACUGCUGCUUGGUCUCUGAAAAAGGAGCACAAGUACUGUAAAGGCGUUCAGAACUGUUCUCUUAGAGUUAGGAGAAGACUUGGAAGCUGUAUCAGAGAGAGUUGAGUCUCAUGUUUAUGCUCAGUUAGAUAGAAGAGAAAACUCCUUUAAUUUGCUUGACAUUUUGCUGUUGGAAAAUGCAUAGCACUUGGGUUAAGACCCCUGUGCCUGAGUAUCUAACACUCAGCGGGGACAUAUUAGAAAAUUGGUAAACACAUACCUUGUGCCUUGUGCUAGCUAUCUCUUGGGACCUCAAUUAUAAAGUGAAGUGCACAUUUAUAUAAAAGUUUUGUUUGUUUUUGUUUUUGGAACCAAAAGCUGUUAAAGGACUUGUAAUGGUUUACAUACACGUACACAUCUAUGCAUUUGUCAUUUAAUAAUCUUUGAAGUCAUUGCUAACAAAAGGCUAAAGACAUACUAGCAAUUAGUGAGUAAGCUGCAGUAGGUGGUCUUUUCCAGCAACUAAAUUUCCUUUGGCACUGUCCCUACUCAUCCCCCACACUGCUGAUGAGUUCAAUAGACCCAGGUUCUGCUCACUCAACAUAUAUUCUCAGCAGGGCUGCAACCUUUCAGACCUGUGUUGUCUUCUUAACAACCCUCCUGAUGAUGCUUCAAAAUUGUCCUUUUCUUCCUUAAUUGUCUUAUUUUCAUCAAGAUGUAUAGAUAAAUAGCAUUCAUAUGAGUUGGUAAAUCAUAUAUUUUUCUAUUAAUUCUCCUUAGGAUGAAUAUGGUAAAUAUUGCCUACUUUAUUCUUCUAAGUACAUUUAAAAUGCUGUUCUUCAUAAUUCAAAUGUAUCAAGUGUAAGAGAGAGGCUGGUUGUCUCCGUUAUUCAAAACAGUGUUCAGGGUAUUUGCAUAUCAAUUAGACUACUAUGUAUAUCUAAGGUACAGUUUUUAGCUUUGCAAUUUUAUAAACGUUUUCCCUCUUCCACUUCAAAGUAUUUUGAUCUUGAGAAAUAGACAAAUCUUUUUACUAGAAUGUGACUUUACACAUUUAUUAUGAAACUGGGUCGGGUAAGAGAAUAGAUUUACAAUUGUCAUUUACACUGGGCCUUCAAUUUUCAUGAUUAAAUCUACUCAAACACCAUAAUACAGAUCAGAAAACUUUCUGGUGAGCAUACAUUUAAGAAAGCAGACUUUCUAAUUCUAUUGUUUUUUCUAAUAAUAGAGCUGUGUAAGUAUUUGGAUAGACAGAGUCCACUACCAAAAAUAACUAAAAUGUUGGAUUAAACAAUUACUAAAUACUACAUGACAAAUGCUAUGGUUUAAAUGUAUCUCUCAAAGUUUAUGCAUUGGAAAUUUAAUCCACAGUGUGACAGCACUGAGAAGUUGGACCUUUAAGGUUGAUUAGGUGACGAGGGUUCUGCUCUCACGAAUGGAUUAAUACCAUUACUGCUGAAGUGGUUUAGUUAUCUGGAGGGCAGAUUCCUCCUGAAGGAUGAGUUCAAUCCCUUCCCUCUUUCUUUCUCUCUCACCACGUGAUGGCUUCUAUCAUCCUAUGAUGUAGCAAGAAAGCCUUUACCAGAUUCAGCCCCACGAUCUUGGAUUUCUUUGCCUCCAGAACCAAGAGCCAAAUAAAUUUCUACAGAUUAUAAAUUACCCAGCCUGUGACAUUCUGUUAUAGCAGCGCAGAAUGAACUAAGACUACAAGAUAACAUGAAAGUAAUUAAUAUCCCACUAAAAUAAUGACAUUGUUGACACACUAGUUAGUGAGUACACAAGGAAAUUUGAGGGCUGAGAUCAUGCAGCUUAUAAGUGAAAAAAGAUAAAGCUUGUUACAAAUUUGAGAACAAUCCUAAAAAUGUACACUACUUUACUAAUAACAGGUUGAGAGGCUUAAAGGGAAAAUAUUUAAAAUGAUAAAUAAUAUCAAAAAAGUUUAAGAAUUUUUGCUUAGGAAACACUAAAUCACCUUUCUUUUCUCUCUAAAGAAAAUGAUAUUAAAAUUAUGAUAUGAAGGGACUAUUAAGACUAUACAGCUAAAGUGUAAAAAAAUUACAAAUUAUAAAAGCAUGUUAGAAAAGUAAUUAAUAAAAGUAUCUUAUUUUCCAAAUUGUGUGAUUAGCUUUAAAAAUCUCAUUAGUAAUUUUCUCAUUCUUAAUAAGUAUUCACUUUUUGAAUUAAUUUUCUUUUUGUAAUUUUGUGUUAUUUCCCUUAAAAAGAGCCCCAAAUUACACAAGAUUUAGGCCCCACAAAGCCUACAAUUCCCCCUGGUAAAGCAUUAAGAGGAAGUUAGAGAUGCAAAGCUACUCACUGUAAUGCUUACAGGACUUAUAAUAUUACAUCAUAAAAAUAUGUGCCUGAAACUGUCAUUAAUAUAUUAUUCAAAUGUACCACAGACACCAUGUUUAUACCAAAUAAAGUGUUAUUCAUUAUAAACUUUAAUUACUCAAAAUUAUCAUAGGACAUGUAACAUGAUUUUUUAAAUCUCUCUUUCUCUCCCUUGCUCUCUUUUUCUCGGUGUAUCUGAAGCUCCAAAUAGUACUUUAUUAUUCCACAAAGAUGUAUUAGACAACCAAAGGAAAACUUGCUAAGGAAGUUGCCAAGAACAAUUCAAUUCUUAGCUGACCACCUAAGUUCUGCUAGGAGUUCUUCCAGGAGUCGCCAAGAUGGCAGUGACUAUUCAAGAGACCUCCAUAAAGAGAGUUUGUGGUGUGCCUAGAGUUCCCUCACCAUAGUGAGGAGAGGUGGUGGAACCUCACGUCCAUUUCAGUGAAAAUGCUUCAUAUUUCUUCUGGAAUGCAGACAGUGCAAGGUGUGUGUUCAACCCUUAACUGACAAAUUUAAAACAUAUUAUUUACCUGAGAAAGUCUGAAUCAGCUGAAGGAAAGGCUGGUUCAAUAAAUGAAAGUUGCCCAAAGAAUAUGUUUCUUAUAGAUCAGAUGUUAGAGUCCUUUGUAAUAAAGCUUAAACUGAAAAGGGAUAGAGGAUCCUAAGCAAGCUGCCAGAGGAGAUGAAUUUGCCAAUUUUAAGAGAGUUAGAGAUGGAAAAUUCUCUGUGACAGGAGGGUCUACGAAACACCCAUCUUCAGUAGAUUUUGAGUGUUAGUCUUGGUAGUAAGUGAUACGGUCUUAGAAAUGGACUUCCCAGUAGCCAUGGGAAUAAAGAAAUAUUAAUGUAAUAGAGGACAAAUGGCAGCAUUCCAUUGUCACAGGCAAGGUGGAUGCAAUCACCACAAUAGGUGACAAGUUUGUAGAAUGGCAGCCAGGGUUGCCUGUUCUGCUGAGAGAUAAGGAGAAUAUUUAAAAGAACGCACAGUGUUCCAAAGCACAACACGGAUGUACAGCCAAUAAAGAUACUGUUUCAUUUAUACAAACAAAUGAAAUUAGGAAUGAAUGAUCAGAAAAUGGAAGACAGUGUUCUAAUGAAAAGUGAUAAUCUCCUAUCAGUUUCCAGCCUCAAACCAGUUAUCAUACUUGGAACUCAUUGACUAAAAGAGAGACCAGAUUCCAAGAAGAAAGGGCACUGCAACUGUGGGAAUUGUCUGCAGUAAUGAUUACCUAGUUUUUUUGCAAAGGGAGUCUAUGACUUUUUACUCAGGUAACUGUACACUAGGGAAGUGGGAAAUCCAGGGAUUUUUUAUUUUUAUUUUCUGGCCCUGAUGGGCAGAGGGUCAAUGUUUUAAUUGAUAGAAAGGGAUCCAAAGUAUCAUCAUGGCUCAUAGCUGAGUUUCUCUACAAAAUUUUCUGUGUUGAGAGGACCUGCAGGGACAGAUCAUAUUGAAUAGCUGGUCCUUCUGAAGAAUGUUGAGAUGCAAACAUCUACCCUACUUUACUCAAGUUUGGCCAACUCUAAAGGGCCAUCUUAGUUUCAGGGCUUCCUGUGGGAUCAACUGAGGCCUCUGUCGUUACUGCAUCACAGCUCGGCCUCUCCAUCUGCCUAAACCUGCUCCCUUUACUUCCUCGAAAGUGUUUCUGGAGCAUUCCCCAAUAAAUUUCCUACAUGCAAAUUUCUGUCUGGGAACCUUUUACCUGGCAGUCUUACCUAUGCACCACUACCCAAGCACCAUCCAAUGAGAGGGUAUGUCAGCUUCAAACACUGACCAAGCCCAGAGAGUUCCAAUAGCUGCUUUUUAUUCACCUCAUCUGUAUUCCACUUCUGUGAAUCUAGAAUUAGGAAACUGGGGGAGUAGAUGAUCCAAGUGGAAAAAUAGAAAAUAUAUAACUAUUGAUUCUCUUAUUUUACUCCAGAUACAAUCAGUCUAAAGCAGACCAGAGUUGGGAGAGGGAGAAAUUUUAACUUUAAAUAUGCAUGGGUAGGUUCACUCUGAACACUUAAAUUUAAAUUCUUUUCUUAUAAUUAAUUGUUGUGUUACAAUUUUAUUGAUAUAUCCCUGAAAUGCUUUUAUAUGACACUUAAAACAUUUGUCCUGUUUUGGUUAUUUGUCCUACAGUUUUGCAAAUACAUCUGAGUUUAAAAGGAAGGAAACCAUCCAUCAGUCUGGUUUUGAAGCUGCUCUUGCAAUAUUAUGAUAUAAUUUAUCCAUAAUUAUAUUAAUUGUUCCACAUUAACUCAGUAUUGAACUUCUAAAAGUAAUAUCAAGUGUGUGUUUUGUGGAUUUUAAACAAUUGUAACAUGUCAAGACAGUAAAAUUAAUUUCUGAAGUAUUAAAAAUAUACCCAUAUCUACUGGUUCAAAGUGAAUUUUAAAUAUGUAAAAUACUGCAAUGGGUUUCUCAAAUAAAUUAAUGAUUUCACAUUACAUGUAUAAGGUACUAAUUCUAUAAAUUUUAUAACUGUAUCUGCACAUCUACUUUUAUUUUUCUAAAUGUAUUAUACAUAUGGGGUCACUUUAUAAUAAAGUUCUCAAUUAGCUAUUAUGCAAUACUUACUCGAGGAAGAAAAGUCACUUAGUACUUUCACAUGUGUUUUUGACCUGCAAAGUGGAUGGAUUAAGCUAAAUGCCUUUAAGGUUCUUUAGCGAGUCAAUGGUUGAGUCAAAAGAUCCCUUCAUUUAGUUGUUAACCAAUUAAAGACAACUUUACUUAGAUAAACUUGAUUUUAUCUGCAUGAUUUCAAAUAAUAUAAUUUGCCUUAUCCUUCACUUUUCAAAAGAAUAUAGGAGACAUUGCAGAUAUUCAUUACUAAUAUUUCAGUCUUCCAUGGACUGCUUUGUUAUUGCAUAGACCGUGUAUCCCAGUUGUAUUUCUUAUUCUUUUCUUAGGUAGUGGACAAACUUGAAACAAGCAAAAGUGCAAAAAACGUUUUACACUAAGGAUUCCCUACAGUUAGUAACAAAACCAAUCAUUGCACCACUUUAUUGGAGGAAAAAUUUCCAAGCCAUGCAAUGCAACACCUUCGUAUAGAUUUAAAUUUUCUUGCCAGAGUGUUGAACACCUCAGUAUUGGGAACAGGAAUAAAAAGACUUUCGAUAGAUCAACAUUACAUUAAAAAACAAAGUAAUAUAAGCCUGCCUAGCAAGCAGAGUGACAGUUUAUAUUCUAAAAUAUGUCACCCUUAUAUUUGAGUCUAAUGUAAUUUUUCCCCUACCAGUAGGAUAUCAUAAAACUGAUGAUUUUAAAAGUAUGUUACAUAAAUCUAAUUUCAUAUUUCUUUACUUCUUUUUCCUUUAGUUCUUAUUCUUUCAA
rnacentral:lncRNA from 10 species